rnacentral:lncRNA from 1 species
AAACAACAACAUAUGUCAUAGCUGGUUAUAUUACUGUAAACUCCACUAACCAGCAGCGCUACAAAUCACACUGACCAGCGACAACAGAGAGAAUGAGCUCUUUCUGGCAAAGUAAACUGCUGCACUGCUUUCAUAAAAAAAUGUUAAGUCCAUUUUUUUUGUUGUUAAUAUUUCUUCGCAGGGAACAUCAGGUUCAAAGGGAGAGCCAGGAGAGAAGGGCUUACCGGUAAGAAAGUAGUUGUGGGUAGUUCACAGUUCACAUGUUGACUCGGGGCCUGAAUGGGAGGGUUUAGACUUUAGUUAGAAGACCUAACGAAAAGUGUUAAGAAUCCGUUGUUGAGCAUUAAAUAUUUUCUCUCUGUCUGUCUAACCCUUAUUCUCCUUUUACCGCUUUCUCAUUUCACAAGAGCAAUCUAAAUGGGGACGGAAUACAUCAGAUCAGAGAGGCGCUGAAGAUCUUAGCCGAGAGGGUUUUAAUCCUUGAGACUAUGAUCGGUAUUCAUGAGCCUGAUCUAGGGUCUGGGGACGGACCGUUUGGCACAGCCUCCCCUAGUUUCUACAGAGAUAAGCGAGCAGGUGCGCUUCCAUAUCGACUUGCUUCUCCUCUGUCCUCCAACACCAAGGUUCGAGGGAAGUAGCCCCCCCCCCCCCCCUGCUCACCCUGAGGAUCACAGGCUGGGUUGACUCCCCCUCCCCUAGGUCUCAUCGGCACUCAACAGAUUUAGACCUUAUCUGAUACCCUCUCUGGGCAUUACUAUCAGAUUUAGGAUGGGGGACACCUCAGGGAAACUCCACUGAUACUCCACAAUGCCCUCCUCCAUCGGGAAUCUGAAAACUAGUUUGACCCCCACCCAUCGCCAUAACCAAACACUUAUCUUUCCAUAACACACCUAGCAGCUCCUUCUGUGUCUCGUGUCUUUGGCUGCAGAAGUAAAGCCGCGGAAUAAAGAUGUUUAAUGUUUGAAAAAAAGGAAACUCUGAAUCUUCUGGACAAUAGGGGUCAUUUAGAGCAAUCAAUUAACGGUGGAAUCAGAUGUGAGGAAAAAGACUGGAUUUGCGUUUGUAUUGCUUUCACAAUGUAACUGCAACCUGAAGAGAUUCCACUAUUUAAGUAUAUUGAGCAUGUACAGUUUGCAGGACACAAGUACACAAACAAACCUCUUCUAGUAUUAAUUUAGUUAUACUUCUCAUAUUGUUUAACUCAAUGUUAUGUAGUGCACUAAAAAGAUGAAGUCAUCUCCACUCUAACUGAGAUGUGUUGCUAACAGUGAUUUGUAGAGUGUUUUCCCGCUUCAAGUACACAAUGAUAAAGUGGUUGAAUAUACAAUAGUGUAUUUACAUUUAUUCUGUGCAAAAAGAAAGCACACACAUUUGGGUUUGGUGGCAUAUCAAUGUACACACUCAUAAAUGAUGUUGUAUUCUGGAAACAAGAACUCUGCAAACUGGCUGUCCAUUUCAAGAUCUUUAACACACACGGAGGAAAAAGCAAAACUGUUAAAUGGAACUUGAACAUAUUUUUACCACUGUUGACGGCUUAAACUGUCCUGAUGAAAAGACUUGAUAAUUGUUGUUUUCAUCUUAUAUCAAUCUUAUUGUGAAACUAUUUAAAAUGAUCAAUUGUAUCUUAUUUUGUAUGCUGUUGUGUAACCAUUUCAUAUUUCAUUCAACAUUUGUUUCUUGCAAGUUACUGUGUUAAAGUAAUCCUGUCUAGAUGAUUGGUGUAAUAAAAUAAUGUUCAUUGUUUGUUUUUUUAACAUGUCACCUCUUUAUUUGGUGUUAACAGGAUUCAUUAAACACAAUUGCAGCAUAAAUAUAUCCACUCUCGCAAACUUACAUUUUAUGUAGAGGUACAGAAAUGGUCUCCAAAGCAGUCGAGUUUGCAUCUACAUUUGAUUAGAUUCACAGUUGUGAUAAAUUCUUAUCAUUGAAUUAGUUCUACAAGUAGCCCACAGGGUAAAAAACAAUACUGAAGCUCAGCAAAACCCAAGCAUAAUGUGAAUCCAGUUUACCGCAUAAGAGCAAACCAUUUA